AAACUCCACCGGCUGCCCUAUGUUAGGAAAAAUUUUUUGCAAUUUUUUAGUGAUUUUUCGGCGAAGUCCUAACGGCGCUGGAGUCUCCGACAGGUUAUCCCGUCUCUCCCGCUAGAUUGAUGAGCUCAGGAAUC
rfam:Dasypus novemcinctus cont2.165554, whole genome shotgun sequence.